rnacentral:rRNA from 1 species
UACGUAGGUGGCAAGCGUUGUCCGGAUUUACUGGGCGUAAAGAGCGCGCAGGCGGUCGUCCAAGUCGCGUGUGAAAGCCCCCGGCUCAACUGGGGAGGGUCACGCGAUACUGGUCGACUCGAAGGCAGGAGAGGGUAGUGGAAUUCCCGGUGUAGAGGUGAAAUUCGUAGAUAUCGGGAGGAACACCAGUGGCGAAGGCGGCGAUCUGGGUGGAUACUGACGCUGAGGUGCGAAAGCGUGGGGAGCAAACAGG